rnacentral:snRNA from 1 species
GUACUUGCUUUGGCAGUACAUAUACUAAAUUGGAACAAUACAGAAAAGAUUAACACAGUCUUUGUAUAAGGACGAUGUUCUAGAUGCCACUGAUAUUUCAUGAAAUCUU